AGGCAGGAGAUAGCUGGUUCUCCCCGAAAGCUAUUGAGGUAGCGCCUCGUGUAUCACUCCAGGGGGUAGAGCACUGUUUCGGCUAGGGGGCACACAAGUGUUUACCAAACCGAUGCAAACUCCGAAUACCUGGAAGUGCAAUCACGGGAGACACACGAUGAGGACUAAACUCCAUCGUGGAAAGGGAAUCAACCCAGACCGCCAGCUAAGGUCCCUAAAUUAUCGCUAAGUGGGAAACGAUGUGGGAAGGCCCAGACAGC
rnacentral:rRNA from 14 species